AUGCGGAGGGUGCAAGCGUUAUUCGGAAUCACUGGGCGUAAAGGACGCGUAGGCGGGUUGGCAAGUCAGACGUGAAAUCCUACAGCUUAACUGUAGAACUGCAUUUGAAACUGCUAACCUAGAGUAUGGGAGGGGGAGAUGGAAUUAGUGGUGUAGGGGUAAAAUCCGUAGAUAUCACUAGGAAUACCGAAAGCGAAGGCGAUCUCCUGGAACAUAACUGACGCUAAGGCGUGAAAGCGUGGGGAGCAAACAGGAUUAGAAACCCUUGUAGUCC
rnacentral:rRNA from 1 species